GGCUCAAUGGUCUAGUGGUAUGAUUGUCGCUUCGGGUUUCAUCGCCCUCUCCUUCACUGGAGAAGCUUGUGACAGGCCCCGGGUUCAAAUCCCGGUUGAGGUA
rfam:Phialocephala scopiformis strain CBS 120377 unplaced genomic scaffold LY89scaffold_26, whole genome shotgun sequence.